rnacentral:rRNA from 1 species
UUGAAUUGAAGAGUUUGAUCAUGGCUCAGAUUGAACGCUGGCGGCAGGCUUAACACAUGCAAGUCGAACGGUAGCAGGAGAAAGCUUGCUUUCUUGCUGACGAGUGGCGGACGGGUGAGUAAUGCUUGGGAAUCUGGCUUAUGGAGGGGGAUAACGACGGGAAACUGUCGCUAAUACCGCGUAUUAUCGGAAGAUGAAAGUGCGGGACUGAGAGGCCGCAUGCCAUAGGAUGAGCCCAAGUGGGAUUAGGUAGUUGGUGGGGUAAAUGCCUACCAAGCCUGCGAUCUCUAGCUGGUCUGAGAGGAUGACCAGCCACACUGGAACUGAGACACGGUCCAGACUCCUACGGGAGGCAGCAGUGGGGAAUAUUGCGCAAUGGGGGGGACCCUGACGCAGCCAUGCCGCGUGAAUGAAGAAGGCCUUAGGGUUGUAAAGUUCUUUCGGUAUUGAGGAAGGUUGAUGUGUUAAUAGCACAUCAAAUUGACGUUAAAUACAGAAGAAGCACCGGCUAACUCCGUGCCAGCAGCCGCGGUAAUACGGAGGGUGCGAGCGUUAAUCGGAAUAACUGGGCGUAAAGGGCGCGCAGGCGGUUAUUUAAGUGAGGUGUGAAAGCCCCGGGCUUAACCUGGGAAUUGCAUUUCAGACUGGGUAACUAGAGUACUUUAGGGAGGGGUAGAAUUCCACGUGUAGCGGUGAAAUGCGUAGAGAUGUGGAGGAAUACCGAAGGCGAAGGCAGCCCCUUGGGAAUGUACUGACGCUCAUGUGCGAAAGCGUGGGGAGCAAACAGGAUUAGAUACCCUGGUAGUCCACGCUGUAAACGCUGUCGAUUUGGGGGUUGGGGUUUAACUCUGGCGCCCGUAGCUAACGUGAUAAAUCGACCGCCUGGGGAGUACGGCCGCAAGGUUAAAACUCAAAUGAAUUGACGGGGGCCCGCACAAGCGGUGGAGCAUGUGGUUUAAUUCGAUGCAACGCGAAGAACCUUACCUACUCUUGA